UACGGAGGGUGCAAGCGUUAUCCGGAUUCACUGGGUUUAAAGGGUGCGUAGGUGGGUCUGUAAGUCCGUGGUGAAAUCUCUAGGCUUAACCUGGAAACUGCCAUGGAUACUAUAGGUCUUGAAUACUGUGGAGGUCAGCGGAAUAUGUCAUGUAGCGGUGAAAUGCUUAGAUAUGACAUAGAACACCAAUUGCGAAGGCAGCUGGCUACACAAAUAUUGACACUGAGGCGCGACAGCGUGGGGAGCAAACAGG
rnacentral:rRNA from 1 species